ACUGGCUUAAAACAAAAACAACCAUUGGCUUUUUACUUACAUAUCCGUGAGUCAGAAGUUAGCACAGGAUGAGAAAGGAGUAAGUUAACCUGUGCUCCACCACAAAAUGAUCCCGCUACUUCAACCGUAACUCCCAAGCCUUCUCAGACACCCCAUCCCCCUCUCCACACACAGCUUCUCUUCAUGGGUAUCUUGAGCUUCCUUAGAACACCGGCAGUUUUGCUGUUGCUGGCAAGGCCACAGAUGGGGCUCCAAGAGCAAGCAUCUCAGAAAUUUGGUGGAAGGUGCAAAAUUAGUCAUGACCUAAAGGUCAUCAUCAAUUACAAUUCUGCACCAUCGUGGUAGUCAGGAAGGCCUACUCCUUUCUGAACCUGGAGCUAGACUGGCCUGCAAACUCCAUGGGACCUCCUGUCUCUACCUCCUCAGCACUGGGAUAACAUGUGUGUAUUGCUGUACCUGGUUUUUUACAUAUACUUGGAUCAAACAUAAGUCCUCAUACUUUCACAGCAGGCACCUUCCUGACUGAACCCCAAUUUUAGUAUUUUAUGAAUCUGCAAGCCACACUAUCCACCAAGAACUGUCCAGGGGAAAGGUGGUUGACUCCAACAGCUAUCAAGGGAUAAUUCAUCCCAACCCAAUUGCCUUUGAACUUAAACCUUUCUGUGGAAACUGUGUAUUUAUGAAUAUGUAUAAAAACAUCCUUCAAAGUAGAGGCAUCGGCAUCUUAGGUUCAAGAAACUAUGUAACAUGACAAAAAAGAGCAUUCUGCCAGUCUCCUCAGGGACUACUGAUGUCCCAGAAACAGUAGACAUUGACAGAACCCUACCCAAUUCUUCCCAUAACCAGUGACCUUAGAAGUGACUUCAAAUGGGUCAGAGAUGAAAAGGUCGAGGGUCCAGAAAGAGAAAGACUGACUUUCUUCCUCUGCACACAGAUCAGUGAAGCCCAAGAGGAAAUGGGAGAUUGUACAAUGUAUGUGUGCAUGUGUACAUCAGUAUGUGUGCAUGUGUAUGUGUGAGUG
rnacentral:lncRNA from 1 species